UGUGCUUGUGUUUUAUUUUGAUUAUUGUGGACCAAAAUGCAAAGAAUUGGACAAAAUGGACUUUAGACUUUAGGACCUUCCCUAAGCUAAUGGAGUUUGAAGAGCAACUAGGCCUCAUGCCUUUAGAGUGCUUAAAAUGUCAAAGAGCAACUGGGCCUUAUGCCUUUAGAAUGCUUAAAGCUUGAAAAUGACCUUGAAAGGACCAACUUCUAAACUCUUCUUGUCCAUUCCUUAUUUGUUUU
rnacentral:lncRNA from 1 species